GAGUGUUUUAAGCCCUAAAUAACUUAGGUCUCACAUAGCUGAAAGACCUCCUCCUUCCCUGCAGAACCUCACAGGUGUUAAGGCCAGCAGAGAAGCAGCUCUUGGGAGUUUCACAGCCCUCACGAUUUGGGGGUGGGGGUGGCCCAGAAGAUGGUAUUCUCUGUGGAAUACCCUAAAUUGUGGAAUUCCCUCCUCACAGAUAUGUGUGUGGCUUUGGGCAAAAGAUGGGAGAUGAACCUUGGAGAUGUGGGUUUUCAGGGCCCACUCUAUUCCGUUGAUUGUUAACUGUUGUAACUGUUUAAAAUUUUGAAUUUUGAAUUGCAACCCACCCUGGGACCUGUUGGUAAAGGCUGUGUAAUUAAUGGCGAUGAGUAUAACAGCAGCAAUGUGAAAUAGUAGAAAUUGCUUUAGCAAUGUGCUUUUUUGGGUCACUAACGCUAGUAAUCAAGAGGAAAGGAGAGCAAAAUUUUCAAGUUCACAGCUCAUCCAGCUUCAAUCAAAAAUGGCAGUCAAAAUUGUAUUCCAUAAUUGAAGGACAUUUAGCUCUUUGCCCCUUCGGACUUCCCAGAGUAUGCCUUGCUUGGCUAGGGAGAAAAUCUGGAUUGUGUUCCAUCUGCAACUCAUUGUGCUAAGACACUUUCAGGUUGCAAUGACUAAGUUCUCAGAAGAGGCCAUAUUCUGUGUCACUACAAUGAGGCUCACCUGCAGGUAGGAGAAGACUUCUUCUUUUGUUCCAGCCCUUCUUUUCUUUGUUCCAGCUCUUUGCCCCUUCGGACUUCCCAGAGUAUCCCUUGCUUGGCUAGGGAGAAAAUCUCGAUUGUGUUUGGUCUGCCACUCAUUGUGCUAAGACUCUUUCAAGUUGUGGAGACUGAGAUGUCAGAAGAUGCCCUAUUCUGCGUCACCGAAAUGAGGCUCACCUGCAGGUAUGAGAAGACUUCUUUUGUUCCAGCUCUCCUUUUCUUCAAGUUUCCAAGAGUUCAGUGUACAGUGAAGGGAGAUUCACCUGCAUUUGGACUGUGCUGCUUUAGGUAAGUUCACAUCCCACCACUCAGUGGUCUUUUCUCCCCAAGAACAUGUUUUUUGUAUUGGUCUCUCCUGUUCCCCGUUUUCUUUUCUGGUGGUCUCUCCACAGGUCUCUCCAAAGAGCUCCCAACCCUCAAAUGAAGCCAGCUCUUCCUGGAGGGUCGCAGAAGUCAUGGUGGUAAGAAAAGGCUCACCUGCAGGUAGGACAACACUUCUUUUGUUCUAGCUCUUCUUUCCUUUUGUUCCAGCUCUUCUUCCGAUCAGGCUUUCCAGAGUAUGCCUUGCUUGGCUAGGGAGAAAAUCUCCAUUGUGUUUUCCCAUUUUCUUUUCUGCUCUCUCCACAGGUCUCUCCACAGAGCUCUACUUAACAUCUUAAGGUUUUCUUUUUCCCUGAGAGAACAUUCCCAGAAUGUUCUCUCAGGUUUUGCUUUUCCCCUUGUUGCAUUGCUCAAAAAAAAGCAAAAGACACUGGUGGUUGGUACUCCUG